rnacentral:rRNA from 1 species
GAUGAACGCUGGCGGCGUGCCUAAUACAUGCAAGUCGAGCGAACAGACGAGGAGCUUGCUCCUCUGACGUUAGCGGCGGAAGGGUGAGUAACACGUGGAUAACCUACCUAUAAGACUGGGAUAACUUCGGGAAACCGGAGCUAAUACCGGAUAAUAUAUUGAACCGCAUGGUUCAAUAGUGAAAGACGGUUUUGCUGUCACUUAUAGAUGGAUCCGCGCCGCAUUAGCUAGUUGGUAAGGUAACGGCUUACCAAGGCGACGAUGCGUAGCCGACCUGAGAGGGUGAGCGACCACACUGGAACUGAGACACGGUCCAGACUCCUACGGGAGGCAGAAGUAGGGAAUCUUCCGCAAUGGGCGAAAGCCUGACGGAGCAAAGCCGAGUGAGUGAUGAAGGUCUUCGGAUCGUAAAACUCUGUUAUUAGGGAAGAACAAAUGUGUAAGUAACUAUGCACGUCUUGACGGUACCUAAUCAGAAAGCCACGGCUAACUACGUG